UUUUAUUUCCUCACAGAUUUCCCUGGAUUGGGGUGGCACCUGGAUUGUGGUUGCAGCUGCUGCCGUGGUCCUGCUG